rnacentral:lncRNA from 1 species
UUCUCUUGCCUGGGGCCUGUCCUAAGGGAGCCUUGUGACACAUCUCAGGACCCAGCAUCAAGAUGAUGUGGCUCUUCUGCUUGCUUUCACCUCUCAUGUUAGAUUGUGUUAUAUACCUAGGGAAGCACCUAGGCGAUAUGACUCUUCUCUUCUGCCCGAGCCCUGCCUAGUUGGGACAUUGGGCCAUAUAUCUGAGCCCGUGUCCUAAGUGACGUGACUCUUUUCUUCUGCCUGAGCCUUUACAAUGGGGUGAUAUGACAUAUUGCUAAGCCCAAUACUUAGUUCACAGGCAUGAUGAUCAAAGUUAAAUUGGAAUUCCACCAAGAGUAGAUAUUUUGCCUCUCAUCGCUAUGCUUAGGGCAAUAGGUAAUAUUGUGCCAUAUACCAGAGACCAGAUCAAAGGCCUAAUAAGGACUCUUGUACCUGGAGCCAGGACUUGUGCAGGAUGGUGACUCUCAUCCCUGAACAUUUCCACAGGUGUUAUUGUGACAUAUACCUGUGCCCACCUCCUGAGUGAUUUAAUAAUCCUGCCUGUUAUAGCCCACAGAUGACAUAUUGACGUAUACCUGG